UGUGUGUGUGUGUGCGCAUGUGUGUGUGUGUGCGUGCGUGCGUGCGUGCGUGUUGGCCAGUACAGAGAAGCUGAUGGGACUGCUGUUUCCUGCUGUGUGGUGGGUGAGCCGUUUGCUUCGCUGCUGUUUGGCUCCAGAAAUCAAACGUCUCUUCAUACGAGUGAAGCUGAGGAUGACAAGCACAGGUUCAGGGGUGCUGUGAGGAAAAGCAGCUGUGCAUGAUUCACAGCUGGAUCCAUCCAUGUUAACAGAACACAAACAAACCGCCAUGUCAGCCCCACGGUGAUUAAAAAAGAUCCACCUCCUCAAACUAAUCGGGAAACGUCUUUUUCAGACGAACUCUGUUUGCUCAGCAGUUCAAGCAGCAGGUGGACCAAAGAAUUCUGGGUUGCCUUUAUUUGCAUUUUUAUCCUUUUGCUUGUUGAAGCUAUUUUGAGCUGUUACUUCCUGAUUCUCUGAGUAGAUGUUUAAAAACAGAAUAAAUGCUGUGAUGCAGCAUCAAACCCACA